rnacentral:rRNA from 1 species
UACGGAGGGUGCAAGCGUUAUCCGGAUUCACUGGGUUUAAAGGGUGCGUAGGAGGGUAGGUAAGUCAGUGGUGAAAUCUCCGGGCUCAACUCGGAAACUGCCGUUGAUACUAUCUGUCUUGAAUACCGUGGAGGUGAGCGGAAUAUGUCAUGUAGCGGUGAAAUGCUUAGAUAUGACAUAGAACACCAAUUGCGAAGGCAGCUCACUACACGAGCAUUGACUCUGAGGCACGAAAGCGUGGGGAUCAAACAGG